rnacentral:rRNA from 1 species
GGAGAAAGCGCCAAACGCUCCGGCGCCGCAGGAUGCGACUGCGGCCGAUUAGGUAGACGGUGGGGUAACGGCCCACCGUGCCGAUAAUCGGUACGGGUAGUGAGAGCUAGAGCCCGGAGACGGACUCUGAGACAAGAGUCCGGGCCCUACGGGGCGCAGCAGGCGCGAAACCUUUACACUGCGCGACAGCGCGAUAGGGGGACCCCAAGUGCGAGGGCAUACAGUCCUCGCUUUUUCCGACCGUAAGGUGGUCGGCGAAUAAGAGCUGGGCAAGACCGGUGCCAGCCGCCGCGGUAAUACCGGCAGCUCGAGUGAUGGCCGCUAUUAUUGGGCCUAAAGCGUCCGUAGCCGGCUAGACAGGUCCGUCGGGAAAUCCACCCGCUCAACGGGUGGGUGUCCGGCGGAAACCAGCUAGCUUGGGACCGAGCGACCUGAGGGGUACGUCUGGGGUAGGAGUGAAAUCCCGUAAUCCCGGACGGACCAUCGGUGGCGAAAGCGCCUCAGGAGAGCGGAUCCGACGGUGAGGGACGAAAGCUAGGGUCUCGAACCGGAUUAGAUACCCGGGUAGUCCUAGCCGUAAACGAUGCUCGCUAGGUGUGGCGCUGGCUAC